CCCUUAGAUGUUCUGGGCAGCACGCGCGCUACAAUGGUCUUCGCAAACGGAUGCAUUCUCGAAGGAGAAUGCCAAUCUUGGAAUCUAUGCCUUGGUCGGGACAGUUGCUUGCAAUUUUUCGACUCGAACCAGGAAUUCCUUGUAAUCGUGAUUCAUCACAUCACGAUGAAUACGUCCCUGCCCUUUGUACACACCGCCCGUCGCUCCUACCGAUUGGAUGGUUUAGUGAGACCCUCGGAUCGGUCCCGACUCGGGGUGGGCUUCUGCCCCGGUCGUGGUUUCGCCGAGAAGACGGUCGAACUUGACUAUCUAGAGGAAGUAAAAGUCGUAACA
rnacentral:rRNA from 1 species